UGUUUCGGCUAGGGGGUCAUCCCGACUUACCAACCCGAUGCAAACUACGAAUACCGAAGAAUGUUAUCACGGGAGACACACGGCGGGUGCUAACGUCCGUCGUGAAGAGGGAAACAACCCAGACCGCCAGCUAAGGUCCCAAAGUCAUGGUUAAGUGGGAAACGAUGUGGGAAGGCCCAGACAGCCAGGAUGUUGGCUUAGAAGCAGCCAUCAUUUAAAGAAAGCGUAAUAGCUCACUGGUCGAGUCGGCCUGCGCGGAAGAUGUAACGGGGCUAAACCAUGCACCGAAGCUGCGGCAGCGACACUAUGUGUUGUUGGGUAGGGGAGCGUUCUGUAAGCCGUUGAAGGUGGCCUGUGAGGGUUGCUGGAGGUAUCAGAAGUGCGAAUGCUGACAUAAGUAACGAUAAUGCGGGUGAAAAACCCGCACGCCGGAAGACCAAGGGUUCCUGUCCAACGUUAAUCGGGGCAGGGUGAGUCGACCCCUAAGGCGAGGCCGAAAGGCGUAGUCGAUGGGAA
rnacentral:rRNA from 1 species